UAAAAGUUAACUUGUAUGGAAUAGGAUCGUUUGCGUACGUUUGCCGCUAGGGGCGCUGUUCCAACUGCAUACAAGAGUUA
rnacentral:pre_miRNA from 1 species